rnacentral:rRNA from 1 species
GUCCCUACGGGGGGCAGCAGUGGGGAAUAUUGCACAAUGGGCGAAAGCCUGAUGCAGCAACGCCGCGUGAAGGAAGAAGGCCUUCGGGUCGUAAACUUCUGUCCUUGGGGAAGAAGAACUGACGGUACCCAAGGAGGAAGCCCCGGCUAACUACGUGCCAGCAGCCGCGGUAAUACGUAGGGGGCAAGCGUUGUCCGGAAUUACUGGGCGUAAAGGGCGCGUAGGUGGGCGCUUAAGUCAGGUGUGAAAACUCCGGGCUCAACCUGGAGACUGCAUUUGAAACUGG